GACGAACGCUGGCGGCGUGCUUAACACAUGCAAGUCGAACGGAAAGGCCCUGCUUUUGUGGGGUGCUCGAGUGGCGAACGGGUGAGUAACACGUGAGUAACCUGCCCUUGACUUUGGGAUAACUUCAGGAAACUGGGGCUAAUACCGGAUAGGAGCUCCUGCUGCAUGGUGGGGGUUGGAAAGUUUCGGCGGUUGGGGAUGGACUCGCGGCUUAUCAGCUUGUUGGUGGGGUAGUGGCUUACCAAGGCUUUGACGGGUAGCCGGCCUGAGAGGGUGACCGGCCACAUUGGGACUGAGAUACGGCCCAGACUCCUACGGGAGGCAGCAGUGGGGAAUAUUGCACAAUGGGCGGAAGCCUGAUGCAGCAACGCCGCGUGCGGGAUGACGGCCUUCGGGUUGUAAACCGCUUUCGCCUGUGACGAAGCGUGAGUGACGGUAAUGGGUAAAGAAGCACGGGCUAAAUACGUG
rnacentral:rRNA from 1 species